rnacentral:tRNA from 1 species
GGGAAGUUAACUCAACUGGUAGAGUCCUGCCUCUUAAGCAGCGAGACGCGAGUUCGAUCCUCGCACUUCCCA